UUUACUGUAGAAGCCUUUAUUUUGUAAAAAGUUUGUUGUUUGAAUGAUAACCCUUUUUUACCACAUACUUGAACACCUUGUAUUUGUAGAAAACACAUUUUGUUCAAACACCUAAAAAAGCUGAUUGACACUAUAACAUUAAAUUGCACUGACAAAAAAAAUACAACUUCAUACCACACGAAUGCUGAUUCCAAGAGAACUGGUACUCCAAUUGAAAUCAAACACCUUAGUAAACAACGGAAUUAAAUAAGCGCCCAAUGUGAACAAAACAAUUACAGUACAAAAACCAAAUGCAUUUUUUUCUUCCAGCGCCAGUAUAUCUGAUGAUUUACAUUUCUUUCUCAUGAUAAAACAACAACAGUAAUAAUCCAACAAUCCAUAACAAAUGCAACAAAUACAAUAAAUCAGAAAUGAACAAAUUAAAUAAAUCACUUUUUUUUUGUUAAAAAAAAACAACAGGUUUUACUUUUGUGUUUUUCGAUCUUAAUCGCCAAAUUUCAUGUAAAGAAUCCGAACUUGAUUGGUCCCCAGGCUGCUGUCCUACUGUGGCUCUGGGGUCCACAGACCACAGACCACAGCAGCCGUCUGGGGCGAACCGGUCUGCAGGGACUCUGCUCCCUCCUGGCUCCGUGCUCUGAGCGGUGAAUCAUGUCAAAGCGUUACGCUGAACUCGACCAAACUACAGCGUUCACCUGCUGCUGUUACUCCAAACGGUCUAAAGCGAACCACACACAACCCGGAGACAGGCCUACACGCUGAGGGGGCUCCAGGGAGAAAGUUCUCCCAUCGAGAGGGUUCUACCAGUGAGAACAGAACGUUCUCCCAGUGAGAAGGUUUUACCAGUGAGAACAGAAUGUUCUCCCAGUGAGAAGGUUCUCCGGUGAGAAGGUUCUCCAGUGAUACGGUCCUCCCAGUGAGAACCUUCUCCCAGUGAGAAGGUUCUCCAGUGAGAACGUUCUCCCAGUGAGAAGGUCCUCCCAGUGAGAACGUUCUCCCUGUGAGAACGUUCUCCGGUGAGAAGGUCCUCCCAGUGAGAAGGUUCUCCAGUGAGAAGGUUCUCCAGUGAGAACGUUCUCCGGUGAGAAUGUCCUCCCAGUGAGAAGGUUCUCUGGUGAGAAGGUUCUCCCAGCGGGGGCUGUCUGGGUCUCAUGUAAACACGGGGCGUGGAGGUCCUGGUUGUGGAGGUCCAACGCAGGAGGAAUAGAAAAAUAGGAAAAUGAAUCCUUCCCAAAACCCAGGUCAUGCAAAACAAACCCUUGAAUACGGAGCAUGGGGACGGCACAGGGCUGGCCCAGGGGGGGGCCGGGGAGCGGACCGGGGGGCGGAGGUCGGACCGGGGCUGACCCCCCAGGGUGACGCCCCAGGGGCUGUUUGGUGGCUCUGUGGAGGGCGGCGGACGGAGACGUAUGGCUUAGUGAGGCCGCUCCCACUUCCUGCUUCGCUCCGUCUGGGGGCGUGGCCCGCGUGCGUCUGGGGGCGUGGCCCGCGUCCACCGUCUGUCACCUAACCUACAAGGCACGAAGUCGCGACCUAUCUGUGAAACCUACGAACGACGCCGGGAGGUCAAAACAAGAUGGCGGCUCUAGACUAGUGACGGCUCGGGUCCUCGUUUCCACGACGACAGCUCUAAAGACGAACAGAGGUUUCCCGGGCCGCCGUGAAACACCGACGCUGAACCUCCCUAACACAGACAGAGUGAACAGUGUAACUUGUGUUACUAUUUACGAAAGCACUGUUCGUACGAAGUGCACGUCAAGUUCCACUCCUGGUGCGAGCGUCGUUUAUAUCUUUGGUUUGCCGCCACCGUUCCUCAGCCGGGUGGUUCCGGCUGCGUCGCCGCACAGGGCCGGUUGGGGUGUGACGGUCUCUGCUCUCUGCUACUGUUGGCCGACUGAGAGGCUCCACAGGAGCAGUACGGUCACGGUGCCCCCGGUGGAGACUGGUGUCUCUACAGCCUCACAGGGCUACUGUGGGCCUCCUCUCCUACCACCUCCUAUCUCCAGGGGUCCCCUGGUCCUACAUUAGCCCCCCCCACACACACACACAUAAAGUAGGUGAGAAACGACCACUAGUUCACGUGUUGCUCACUCUGGGUUUUAAGAUUAAAACAACUAUUAUCAUCUGAACAAACGCGCAGCAACAGAGAAAUCCACCAGAAAGCAAAUUUUAUUUCAAUUUAGAAAAACGUCUAAAACGAGUUAGAAAAGAGCGAACCGAUCCGUCUGUCGGCUCAUCAGGUCUCGCUAUCGUCGCUCAUCGGACACGCCCCCGGGCGACGACUCCGGGAGACGGCUCUGGGGUACGCGCUACAGACCCGGAGAUGGCGGACGUGUUCUCAGUGCAGCUUCGGACGUACGUACGCCGUUACGUCAGAGCUCGGUACGGACGGACGGACACCGUGCCGCGAGAGUCGCACGCCUCCACAGAGCCAGCCCCCGGGACACCCCCCCGUCAGACCUCCUGCUGUCCAACCAUGCUCCGUAUCUCUCCUCCCCCUCCUCCAGCUCCUCCUCCUCCUCCAGCUCCUCCUCCUCCUCCUCCAGCUUCUCCUCCUCCUCCUCCCC
ensembl:lncRNA